rnacentral:rRNA from 1 species
CACCGCGGUUAUACGAGAGGCUCAAGUUGACGGACCACGGCGUAAAGCGUGGUUAGGGAAAAACAAAAACUAAAGCCGAACGGCCUCUAGGUUGUUACACGCUUCCGAAGGUACGAAGCCCAAUCACGAAAGUAGCUUUAAUCCUCACCUGACUCCACGAAAGCUGAGAAACAAACUGGGAUUAGAUACCCCACUAUGCUCAGCCCUAAACAUCGAUUGUAUAACACAACCCCGAUCCGCCCGGGUAUUACGCACGCCCCCUUUCUUUAUUUCUAUUUAUCUUCUACCCCCCCCCCCACCUUGUCUGAAACCCAAAGGACUUGGCGGUGCUUUACAUCCACCUAGAGGAGCCUGUCCUAUAACCGAUAAACCCCGUUUAACCUCACCCUCUCUUGCUCUUUCCGCCUAUAUACCGCCGUCGUCAGCUUACCCUGUGAAGGGCCAAUAGUGAGCAUAAUCGGCACAGCCCAGUACGUCAGGUCGAGGUGUAGUGUAUGAGGGGGGAAGAGAUGGGCUACAUUUACUAACAAUAGUAAAUACGAAUACUGCAUUGAAACAUGCAGCUGAAGGUGGAUUUAGUAGUAAGCCGGAAACAGAGUGUCCUGCUGAAAUUGGCUCUAAAGCGCGUACAUACCGCCCGUCACCCUCUCUAAGUUCUACAGAAACAUUAUACCCAUAACCUUCGCUUGCAAAGGAGGAAGUCUAA